rnacentral:antisense_RNA from 1 species
ACCUCCUACGGGAACCUGAAAGCACGACAUUGCUCACAUUGCUUCCAGUAUUACUUUAGCCAGCUUUUAGCUGGCUUUUUUUU